rnacentral:rRNA from 1 species
UACAGGGGGUGCAAACGUUGCUCGGAAUCAUUGGGCGUAAAGCGCACGUAGGCGGUCUGUUAUGUCGGAUGUGAAAGCCCUUGGCUUAACUGAGGAAGUGCAUCCGAAACUGGCAGGCUAGAGUACUAAAGAGGGUCGCGGAAUUCCCGGUGUAGAGGUGAAAUUCGUAGAUAUCGGGAGGAACAUCAGUGGCGAAGGCGACCACCUGGCCCAACACUGACGCUGAGGUGCGAAAGCGUGGGUAGCAAACAGG